AUGAGAAAAACUAUCUAACAUGAUCAAAUAUCAAGAGUGCUUAACUUAAAGCAGUGAUGAUGGUGAGGUUUAAUAAGCUGUUGUGGUCAGAACAAAUUUGAUUUGACUUCCUCUACUUGAUGAAGGAAGAGCUUCUUUUGUCUUCCUGUCUCUGCUUUAGAUUCAUCUUCAGUGUUGUGUGGAAGGAAACACGACAACAAGAUGAAGAUCAUUCAGCUUCAGUUCUAUGUAUUAAUCUGUUGUCAAGCUGCAGUUUCAGAUCUACUGACUGAUCUGGGAUCAAAUGUGAUCAUAAACUGUGAUCUUGAUGAAAAUGAGGUUUAUUGGAUUUUACUGAAAACAGCAGAUCCUCCAACACUGAUUCUACGAACAUUUCCGACACCAAUACCUCCUCAUUACUAUAAUAAAACAUUCAGAAACAAAUAUUCAGUGCAGUUUAAACAUAGUCUGGUUAUUAAUAAUGUGACUGCUGAUGAAUUAGGAGUUUAUUACUGUAUGAACACACGCACUCCUCCAAAACUCAGCAACAGCACCAGAAUAUACUUCACCGAACCGUUUCAUCAAACUG